GACCAUUAGAAAAGUGAUGGGGGGGGGGGGCAAAAGCAAAAGUAAAAAUAGAGCAGGGCAAACAGAAAAAAAAAAUUCGGCCACCAGAAAUGUUUGAAAAAAAAAAUUCGUGCAGAGACUUCUCAAUAUGGAAAAUUAUAAGUUGACAGGGCCUAUCAGAGGUACAGUGUAAGGAAAGUAAAAGAAAAAUAAUUUUGAACUUUUUUUAUAUAAGUAAUGGUGUGAGAAAAAUUUUUCUAAACCUAAUUG